rnacentral:misc_RNA from 1 species
CCGCUUCUAACUCCAGCGACAACAUAAUGCGCAACAGUUGCGUCUCAAUAAGGAAAGAAGGAGAGAUGCUUGAAGUAGAAAUCCAUUGAGCUGUCGUACAUUUGACCGAUAACAACCAUAAGGUAUCGUCGUCCCGGUGUUACUCUCUUUCUCGUGUGUACUACUUACAAAUGAUCGAUAAUGUGAUCGAAAAAAAAUAAAUGAACAAAUCCCAAAUAAACGAUAAUUUAUAAAAUCGUUCGCGUCAAGUGGUCAAAUGAAAUUAAAAUGAAAAUUUAACGAUGAACGAGUGCGACAAAAUAUCGACCUUGCUUGAAUAUCGUAAAAUGAAAUUGUUGAUUAACGAAGGAACGAUAAGAAUAAAGCUAAAUUUUUAACGUCUUUCAUCAGGAUGACGGAAAAACGUCUUUCGUUGGGUAUCAACGUUAGUAUUCUUCUGAUUCUCACGAUAUUUGGUAUUUUAUUGUCUCUACCUUUAAAAUUACUUUUGAAUACGAAUUACGAUGUACAAAGUCACGAAAAUCAGAGUGAAAACGAUACUGAUACAUUGUCCAACGAGAAUAAGAACAAAGAGAUACUAGAAUUGUUAAUCGAUUAUCGUAAAUUAAAAUUGUGCAGAAGACAUGGUUAUAAAGAUCGGAUAAGAUCGAUCUUUUACAGCGAUUACGACGAGAAUUGUAUGUACGUACAAGUUAUUACGAAACAGAAAGAAGAAACUAAUUUCGAUUCGUUCGAGCAAGUCAACGAGUUGGUGCUAAAGGUGGAUAAGAAAAUAGAAAAGGAAGUGAAAAAGGAGGAAGAGGAGAAGAAGAAGAAGAAAGUGAAGGACAACGAAGAAGAGGAGUCGCAAGAAUCGAAGGAAAUCGUUGUUGCAGGGCACAUCCUCGUGACGAUGCUUCUCGUUUCAGCGAUUGCAGCUUUGGUCGAAGUACUACGGAUUAGAUUUUCCACGGACAAGAAUAAGGAUUCUUCGUCGAGAGGUAACGUCCCUUCAAGAAAAAGCUCCACCGUUGAUCUUCCGAUUCAAAGACGCUUCUUACCAAGAGAGCCAAUGAAGAGUCAAAAAUCCUUCGAAUUGUUAGGAAUGCAUCGAUCUUCUUUGCGUCUUUUGGGUGAGCGACCAACCCCGCUUAUUCGACGUUCUUCCUUCCCAACGCAACAGGCUAACAAUAAACGAUCGGCUCCAUCGGCCACUGGCACGCCAAAUAUACGAAUGUCACGACGUCAAUCGGCCGAGUCCGAGGAAGAAAUCGGGGUACUUAUCACCGCUCUUCAUCAUCGUACACGUUUGAUCCGUCGCCAUUAAGCAGGCAAACUACAUAUGAUUACUAAAUAACAUCUCAAUGAAGUUCAACGACAAGAAACGAAUUGUAUAAGUUCUUAUACAUUCUAUUUAUGUAUAAGAAGAACCAAUGAGAUAGAAAGAAAUGAAAAAGAUACUUGGGACCGUCUAAUCCUGUGAUCAUCGUCGUUCUUCAUGUGAUACAUAAAAUGUUAAUUAUAGCUUAUGAAAUCUAUACAUACAUAUAUAUAUAUAUAUAUACAUACACAUGAACAUGAAUGUUCUAUGAAAAUGUUUUGCUUCUUCGUACGUUUCGCUCGCCUUUCUGAUAUUUUCUUUUCAGACUUUAAAUAUAUAAAAGCUCGAUCUUAACAGUGUAAAAAGGGAAAAAAAAUUUCCAAUAAAUCGGAUAAUUAUAA